CUAAUACCGCAUAACGUCGCAAGACCAAAGAGGGGGACCUUCGGGCCUCUUGCCAUCAGAUGUGCCCAGAUGGGAUUAGCUAGUAGGUGGGGUAACGGCUCACCUACGCGACGAUCCCUAGCUGGUCUGAGAGGAUGACCAGCCACACUGGAACUGAGACACGGUCCAGACUCCUACGGGAGGCAGCAGUGGGGAAUAUUGCACAAUGGGCGCAAGCCUGAUGCACCCAUGCCGCGUGUAUGAAGAAGGCCUUCGGGUUGUAAAGUACUUUCAGCGGGGAGGAAGGUGUUGAGGUUAAUA
rnacentral:rRNA from 1 species